rnacentral:rRNA from 1 species
AUUAAGUUAAUUUUAUGGAUUUUUCAAUUUAAUAGAAAUUAUUUAUUCUUUUUUUAGUAUGUUUAAAAAUAAUUUUUAUAAUUGUUACUGAUAAGGUAAGUUAUACAAUAUUUAUAUAUAAUUUUAUUAGUACCUUUGGUAUCAGGGUAGAUUAAUUACUUUAAAUAUUAUUUUAUAUUCCCGAAUUAAAAAGGUCAAAAUCUUUAAUUAAAUUUAAUUGUUGAAAAAAUUUUAAUAAUAAAGUUUUAGUAGCGAUAUGUUAAUCGAUUUUUGUUUAUCUGGUUACUAAGGAAUUUAAUUUAAUUAAUCAUUAUUUUAAAAAUUUAAUUUAUUUAGAUUAUAAUGAAAAGUUAUUAUGGAUAAUCUUAAUAAUUUACACUAAAAUUUAAUUUGUAUGAAGUUUAUUAACUUUAAAAUUUUGUAUUUAGUUUAUAACAAGAUUACUUCUCUAAUUUUUAUUUUUUAGAAUUUAGUUUAAUACUUAGUUUUUUAAUAAAAUUUGGUUAUUAUUUUGAUAAUGAUUUAAUUAGUAUAAUUUAAAGAUUAAAUAUUAUGAACUUGACAAUUUUUGUAUCCAACUGUUUAACAAAAACAUUUCUUUUAGUUUUUAUUAAAGGUACUUUCUGCCCUAUGGUUUUUCUAAAUGGCUGCAGUAUUUUGACUGUGCAAAGGUAGCAUAGUAAUUAGUUUCUUAAUUGGGAACUUGUAUGAAUGGAUAAAUGAGACAUAAUUUUUAUUUAUUUAAAUAUUAAAAUUUUAAUUUUAAGUAAAAAUGCUUAACAAUUUUCCUGGGACGAUAAGACCCUAUAGAACUUUAUAUAUAAAUAUUAAAUUGUUUUUAAUUUUUGUCUAUAAUUUUUUAUUAAUAUUUUUUGCUGGGGUGGUGAAUAAAUUUUAACUUUAUUUAUUUUUUUCAUUGUUAAGUGUUUUUAUUGAUCAUUAUGGAUUAUAAGAAUAAGUUACCUUAGGGAUAACAGCGUAAUUUUAGUGGGGAGUUCACAUCUAUAUUAAUUUUGCGACCUCGAUGUUGAAUUAAGAAAAAACUAAGAAGCAGAAUUCUUAGAUUUGAGUCUGUUCGACUUUUAAUUUCUUACAUGAUUUGAGUUCAAACCGGCGUGAGCCAGGUUGGUUUCUAUCUUGGAAAAUAAUUAAGUUAUAUAGUACGAAAGGACCUUUAACUUAUACUUGGGUAUUUUAUACUUAAAAA